AGCAGCCGCGGUAAUUCCAGCUCCAAUAGCGUAUAUUAAAGUUGUUGCAGUUAAAAAGCUCGUAGUUGAAUUUCGGGGUCAAUACGUCGGUCGUGCCUUCGGUACGUACUGGUGUUAUUGAUCUCUCCCUUCUGAUGAAUCAUGAUGUCAUUAAUUUGGUGUCGUGGGGAGUCAGGACUGUUACUUUGAAAAAAUUAGAGUGUUUAAAGCAAGCUAACGCUUGAAUACAUUAGCAUGGAAUAAUGAAAUAGGACGUUCGAUCUUAUUUUGUUGGUUUCUAGGAUUGACGUAAUGAUUAAUAGGGAUAGUUGGGGGCAUUAGUAUUCAAUUGUCAGAGGUGAAAUUCUUGGAUUUAUUGAAGACUAACUACUGCGAAAGCAUUUGCCAAGGAUGUUUU
rnacentral:rRNA from 1 species